GAGGGAAUCUUCGGCAAUGGACGAAAGUCUGACCGAGCAACGCCGCGUGAGUGAAGAAGGUUUUCGGAUCGUAAAACUCUGUUGUUAGAGAAGAACAAGGACGUUAGUAACUGAACGUCCCCUGACGGUAUCUAACCAGAAAGCCACGGCUAACUACGUGCCAGCAGCCGCGGUAAUACGUAGGUGGCAAGCGUUGUCCGGAUUUAUUGGGCGUAAAGCGAGCGCAGGCGGUUUCUUAAGUCUGAGGUGAAAGCCCCCGGCUCAACCGGGGAGGGUCAUUGGAAACUGGGGGACUUGAGUGCAGAAGAGGAGAGUGGAAUUCCAUGUGUAGCGGUGAAAUGCGUAGAUAUAUGGAGGAACACCAGUGGCGAAGGCGGCUCUCUGGUCUGUAACUGACGCUGAGGAUCGAAAGCGUGGGGAGCAAACAGG
rnacentral:rRNA from 1 species